rnacentral:rRNA from 1 species
UGGGGAAUUUUGGACAAUGGGGGCAACCCUGAUCCAGCCAUGCCGCGUGAGUGAAGAAGGCCUUCGGGUUGUAAAGCUCUUUCGGCCGGAACGAAAUCGCGUACGUGAAUAGCGUGCGUGGAUGACGGUACUGGAAGAAGAAGCACCGGCUAACUACGUGCCAGCAGCCGCGGUAAUACGUAGGGUGCGAGCGUUAAUCGGAAUUACUGGGCGUAAAGCGUGCGCAGGCGGUUCUGCAAGUCAGAUGUGAAAUCCCCGGGCUUAACCUGGGAACUGCGUUUGAAACUACGGAGCUAGAGUACGGCAGAGGGGGGUGGAAUUCCACGUGUAGCAGUGAAAUGCGUAGAUAUGUGGAGGAACACCGAUGGCGAAGGCAGCCCCCUGGGCCGAUACUGACGCUCAGGCACGAAAGCGUGGGGAGCAAACAGG